rnacentral:misc_RNA from 1 species
AGGAUGUCAACGUUACAAAAGUAGGGAAAAAAAAAUUUUUUCUCUUUUUCAUUUGGUUCUCAUUAAAAAACUGCACAAGCACAAGAUUUGCUCCAGCUGAUGCUUAACAUCCCUUUAUGUGCUUUUGCCACUGGCUUUGCCUAAAGAAGUGAAGUUCAACCUGAUAAGCGGCUUCUUCUGUGCCACAGGUGCAGUAAAACAGAACCCAUUAGAUAAUGGUGCCAUAAGCUCAGCAGGCUCAAGCUCCUCCAAGCCGCCACUUGGACAUAACGAAGCAAAUAGAUCAGCUCCAUUGCUGGAUAUAUGUGAUGGCAUUACAGCUACAUUUGCCAAUGAUGUUGCUGUCAUAUUUGCUGAUGUAGAUUCCACUGAGAUGUCUUUUUUAUUACCCCUUGAAUCUUUGAUCUGAUUUCUAUAUUCAAAAUCAUCUUCAAGCUCAUCAAGUUCUUGUGUUAAACUUUGGCUAUUAAUGUAAGGACCAGACAUUAUUUUCUCAAUUGCCAGCUUCUCAGCCUCCUUAGAGAAAGGGGCAUCAUUGGUGGCAAACAAAUCUUUACUUUGUGCAUUAAGCUCCCCAUCUUGAGCAAGAUUCCCUGAUAAGCCUUUUGAAUUGUUUACACCAUCUGUUAUAUUACUCUCCAAUUUUUCUUCCAUUGGCUCCCCAUUUGCACUCACAAAGCCACUCCCUACAGAGACAUUUCCAACAGAAGGGCUUCCCUCAUUAACUUCCCCACUGAAAGAAACACCAGCAGAGGAGUUGGCACUUUUCAUGGUAUUUGCUACAUUAUCAUCAAUUCGCCUUCUCUUCCUUCCAUCAUCCAAGCCAUCUGAAACUCCUUUAGCUUCAGAUGACUUUUCAGCUGAACUUCGCCUGCUAUCCCAAGUUGCUUUUGACGGACGAGAUGGACGAAUGCCACCAGGAAAAACAAAGCUAGGUAUGUUCCUCCGUUUUACAUGGGUUACAUGGAUCUCCAUUCCAAGCUUCCAUAAGGUAUACAAGUUGACAGAGUGUUUAAAUUCCUCAACAGUUAACCUUAUAUCAAACUGUUCACCUUCAUUUACAGGAACUCCUUGUUUACGUUGCAAACCCAUAAAGUAAGAACAACGUAGAGGUCUAGAUUUGUCUGUAAAUUCUCCCGGAUGCGGAUGGCACUGAAGCAUAUUGUAAGUGUGCCUCUCAAUCUUCAAUGUAAGCUGACGGAGACGCGAUUCAACCCACCCUUUCCAGUUUCUUAAAUCAUCUUCAUUUUCUGCAUUGAUGUCUAUUUGUAGGUAAUUCUUGUAUGCGUCAAAGAAGGAAAAAGGCUCAAAAAGGGUACCCCAAUCAGCCUUGUUUGCCUCCAUAGCCUCACAAAUCUCAUUCCCCCUCUGAAAUUCUUCUGUCAUUAUGCACAAAGUGCUUGAUGACACAUUGUAGCUAGAAUUCAUGCAAGGAUAUGCAGGAGUAAUAAUAGGCAUCAAAUGAAACCUGUCCUUCGGAUUUCUUCUAGGAUCCCAAACCGGGAGACCAAGAGAACCUUCUUCAAUGGCACAAAUCAUCACUGGAUUUGGCCAANNNGUGUAUACCCUGAAGAACCGAGAUACUAACAUAUUGGGCAAUGCAUUGGGAUAUAACUGGCAUAUACGAGCAACAAGUAAUGCCCAAUUUAUACCGCCAAGAAACCCUGCAACAUUUGAAUAAACACCACAGCGUUUUGCCCAAAACCUCAUGCAUCGCAAGGUUGUUCGGAAAUUCUUAAUAUUUGGCACCAAGCGCAAAAUCUGAUCAGUAACUCUGCAACCAUUAAGACUGCGGACAGUUUGUUCAUCAGCGUUUUGUAGUAUUGAGUCCUGUGAAAUAUCUAAAUCUUCAGGAAUCACCCAAAGGGACAGCUUUGCAUAAAGAAGAUCUAUAGAAACACCUUUACACUUGAAUUUCAUUACUGGAACAUGCGCAUCAGGAACAGGAUGCAACUCUGUCACUUCAGGCAUCUCCGAAAGCAUUCUAUAUAGCUCGCCAAAAAAAUCUUCUUCUCGUGUUGCAUGUCUAGGCCCCACACAAAGCGUGUCUAUAUCUGCACCAGGGCCAUGCACUCCCAGCCGAUAAGAACCAAAGGUGAAAAUCUUAGCAUUUGCUUCUUGUACUAGUUGCUCAUUCAACCCUUUUGCACGGCUAAUUGCUUUGACCCAAUUUUUCACUAUCUGGUCUAGUCUCCCAAGAACUUCCUCUCUGCUCACAGCCUCCUCCUGACUCUCAUACAGUCCCACAUCUCGCAAAAACUUUUCAAGUUCGUGGGUUUUUAUCUCANNNNNUCUGUUGGUCCACCCAAGGAAAUGGGCUCCGUAAUGCCUAGCCGUUGUUGCUGCUGCCCAUUAUUUCGGGUGCUUAAUCCUGGGCUCCCCAUUUGUAAUUCCUUUCACAAAUUUUUAUUAUUUUGUUGUUUUUCUUAAUGGUAAUUCUCCUUUUUUUUUCACUUCUCUCUCCUUGUCUGAGUUUUGAAUAUGGGGAUAUCAGGCACAAUAUUUAUUGAUGAUGCCUUAAACAAACAUUUAAAUAGAAAAAAAAAAAAAAGCAAAUAAAAUAGAAAAGGG